AGAGUUUGAUCCUGGCUCAGGACAACGCUGGCGGCGUGCUUAACACAUGCAAGUCGAACGGGGAUUACGUUGGAAGCCCUUCGGGGCAGAAGAUUUAAUUCGAGUGGCGGACGGGUGAGUAACGCGUGAGCAACCUGUCCCAGACAGGGGGAUAACACUUGGAAACAGGUGCUAAUACCGCAUAAGACCACGGCAUCACAUGGUGCAGGGGUAAAAGGUGCAAACCGGUUUGGGGUGGGCUCGCGUCCGAUUAGAUAGUUGGUGAGGUAACGGCCCACCAAGUCGACGAUCGGUAGCCGGACUGAGAGGUUGGCCGGCCACAUUGGAACUGAGAGACGGUCCAAACUCCUACGGGAGGCAGCAGUGGGGAAUAUUGGGCAAUGGGCGAAAGCCUGACCCAGCAACGCCGCGUGAGUGAAGAAGGCCUUCGGGUUGUAAAGCUCUGUUAUGCGAGAAGAAGGACGUGACGGUAUCGCAUAAGGAAGCCCCGGCUAACUACGUGCC
rnacentral:rRNA from 1 species